AUUGAACGCUGGCGGCAUGCUUUACACAUGCAAGUCGGACGGCAGCGCGGGCUUCGGCCUGGCGGCGAGUGGCGAACGGGUGAGUAAUACAUCGGAACGUGCCCAGUAGUGGGGGAUAGCUCGGCGAAAGCCGGAUUAAUACCGCAUACGACCUGAGGGUGAAAGCGGGGGAUCUUCGGACCUCGCGCUAUUGUAGCGGCCGAUGGCAGAUUAGCUAGUUGGUGGGGUAAAGGCCUACCAAGGCGACGAUCUGUAGCUGGUCUGAGAGGACGACCAGCCACACUGGGACUGAGACACGGCCCAGACUCCUACGGGAGGCAGCAGUGGGGAAUUUUGGACAAUGGGCGAAAGCCUGAUCCAGCAAUGCCGCGUGUGUGAUGAAGGCCUUCGGGUUGUAAAGCACUUUUGGCGGGAACGAAAAGGACUGUGCCAAUACCACGGUUCGAUGACGGUACCCGCAGAAUAAGCACCGGCUAACUACGUG
rnacentral:rRNA from 1 species